rnacentral:rRNA from 1 species
UACGGAGGAUCCAAGCGUUAUCCGGAAUCAUUGGGUUUAAAGGGUCCGUAGGCGGUUUAAUAAGUCAGUGGUGAAAUCUGGUCGCUCAACGAUCAAACGGCCAUUGAUACCGUUAGACUUGAAUUAUUGGGAAGUAACUAGAAUAUGUAGUGUAGCGGUGAAAUGCUUAGAUAUUACAUGGAAUACCAAUUGCGAAGGCAGGUUACUACCAAUGGAUUGACGCUGAUGGACGAAAGCGUGGGGAGCGAACAGG